UCUAUUACCUUUUUUUUUUUUGGUAAUGAUACUCUAUUACUUUUUGGGUGGUGAAGUUCUCAGAAACCCAAAACAGAAAAGAAAUGGCAAGCGCUCCUUCUCCUCCGUCGUCGUUGAAGGCAAACAUGGCAGCAGGAGACCCCAAAUUCGAUCUCGUGAAGCAGAUUGGCAGCCACGAGGUUACAAUAGCAGAGCUCAAUGCUCUUUCAUCGUCCCGGACGGUGUAUCAGAAGAAUGGGAGCUUAUUUUUCCAUACGACAAUCCAGAAAGCAUCGGCAUCUGAACAGAGUAGAAAUUUUUCUAUCAACUUCUAAGGUGACUUUCUCUGGCUUGGAAACAGCUCUACUGAUGCAAUUUUCCUUCUUCAUUGUGGGUAUUGGUCAGAAUAACUAGAUUUGGCUAAAGCAAGCCUUGGAAAGUUGAAUUCUUCUUGAUACGGCUUUGUCUACAUUGAUGCGUCGGCAGCUUUCUAAGGAUAAAGAACGAGUGCAUUUCUUUUUGCAUAGAAUUGUGCUGCUUGGGAGUUGAGGAGACAUUUUCCUUGUUUGUUUUGGUCAUAGAACAAAAUUUCCUUUGCUUUUUGUAUUUCUAUUCAUGAGGACUGAUCUGAUACUUUUACUGUUUUAAUUGGUCCUUUUGUUGUUGUUGAACAGGAUAAAGAAGGGGUGCAUUUCUUGUUGCAUAGAAUCGUGCUGCUUGGGAGUCGAGGAGACAUUUUCCUUGUUUGUUUUGGUCAUAGAACAAAAUUUCCUUUGCUUUUUGUAUGUCUCGGUGUUACCAUCGUUAGCUUUUAGCAUAUAGAUAUAUUAUUGAAGAGAAGUAGUCAUGGAAACUUUUGGAGAAGAAUGUUGUACAACUCAAAUAUGACUUUUGAAGUAUAUUAAUGAGUUAUUUUCCCGGAAUA